rnacentral:rRNA from 1 species
GUUGCAGAGCCUGGGCGAAGCCUGUCCGCAAUGCCGCGUGAGUGAUGAAGGCCCUAGGGUUGUAAAGCUCUUUUACCCGGGAAGAUAAUGACUGUACCGGGAGAAUAAGCCCCGGCUAACUCCGUGCCAGCAGCCGCGGUAAUACGGAGGGGGCUAGCGUUGUUCGGAAUUACUGGGCGUAAAGCGCACGUAGGCGGCUUUGUAAGUCAAAGGUGAAAGCCUGGAGCUCAACUCCAGAACUGCCUUUGAGACUGCAUCGCUUGAAUCCAGGAGAGGUCAGUGGAAUUCCGAGUGUAGAGGUGAAAUUCGUAGAUAUUCGGAAGAACACCAGUGGCGAAGGCGGCUGACUGGACUGGUAUUGACGCUGAGGUGCGAAA